rnacentral:lncRNA from 1 species
UUCUUUUUUUUUUGCAGAAGCACUCUGAAAUGCACUGCGAUCUUCCGUUCUCUUGUCUGGUUGGCGAUGGCCAAAGGGAAAAAAUGCGAGGCACAACACAGCAGGUUUGUUACGGAAGAUGUAAAGCCGUAUUGGACAACGCCAGGGGCAAAGACGGCACGUGAAAGAAGAACUAACCCAAGGGCAGGAGGGGGCAUUCGACGUGAUAACAGCACAUUCAGGAGAUGGUCAUUCAGUCCACAACCCCAAACAACUUAAAACCAGUUCUUCACAGUCUUUCCCGGGUCUACAUCUCCAUUCUGC